AGUGAACGCUGGCGGUAGGCCUAACACAUGCAAGUCGAACGGCAGCACAGUAAGAGCUUGCUCUUACGGGUGGCGAGUGGCGGACGGGUGAGGCAUACAUCGGAAUCUACUUUUUCGUGGGGGAUAACGUAGGGAAACUUACGCUAAUACCGCAUACGACCUACGGGUGAAAGCAGGGGAUCUUCGGACCUUGCGCGAUUGAAUGAGCCGAUGUCGGAUUAGCUAGUUGGCGGGGUAAAGGCCCACCAAGGCGACGAUGCGUAGCUGGUCUGAGAGGAUGAUCAGCCACACUGGAACUGAGACACGGUCCAGACUCCUACGGGAGGCAGCAGUGGGGAAUAUUGGACAAUGGGCGCAAGCCUGAUCCAGCCAUACCGCGUGGGUGAAGAAGGCCUUCGGGUUGUAAAGCCCUUUUGUUGGGAAAGAAAAGCAGCAGGUUAAUACCCCGCUGUUCUGACGGUACCCAAAGAAUAAGCACCGGCUAACUUCGUG
rnacentral:rRNA from 1 species